rnacentral:rRNA from 1 species
GGGCCCGCACAAGCGGUGGAGCAUGUGGUUUAAUUCGAAGCAACGCGAAGAACCUUACCAGGUCUUGACAUCCCACUGACCGGCUUAGAGAUAGGCUUUUCCCUUCGGGGACAGUGGUGACAGGUGGUGCAUGGUUGUCGUCAGCUCGUGUCGUGAGAUGUUGGGUUAAGUCCCGCAACGAGCGCAACCCUUGAUCUUAGUUGCCAGCAUUUAGUUGGGCACUCUAAGGUGACUGCCGGUGACAAACCGGAGGAAGGUGGGGAUGACGUCAAAUCAUCAUGCCCCUUAUGACCUGGGCUACACACGUGCUACAAUGGACGAUACAAAGGGCUGCAAACCCGCGAGGGGGAGCCAAUCCCAUAAAAUCGUUCUCAGUUCGGAUUGUAGGCUGCAACUCGCCUACAUGAAGCCGGAAUCGCUAGUAAUCGUGGAUCAGCAUGCCACGGUGAAUACGUUCCCGGGCCUUGUACACACCGCCCGUCACACCACGAGAGUUUGUAACACCCGAAGUCGGUGAGGUAACCUUUACAGGAGCCAGCCGCCGAAGGUGGGACAGAUGAUUGGGGUG